GGCUCGUUGGUCUAGGGGUUUGAUUCUCGCAGUAGGGUGGAGAGGUCCCGGGUUCAAAUCCCGGACGAGCCC